CGUGAUGGCGACCGGCGCACGGGUGAGUAACACGUAUCCAACCUGCCGAUAACUCGGGGAUAGCCUUUCGAAAGAAAGAUUAAUACCCGAUGGUAUAAUCAGACCGCAUGGUCUUGUUAUUAAAGAAUUUCGGUUAUCGAUGGGGAUGCGUUCCAUUAGGCAGUUGGUGAGGUAACGGCUCACCAAACCUUCGAUGGAUAGGGGUUCUGAGAGGAAGGUCCCCCACAUUGGAACUGAGACACGGUCCAA
rnacentral:rRNA from 1 species